rnacentral:sRNA from 12 species
UUCCAUAGGAAACAAAAUGGACAAAGUUCAUUAUAUAUAAGUGUUUCCGACGAUUAGCCACCGACCAAAGGGAGGGGGCAAUACAUAGU